GCUUUCCACUUAGACUGUCUUCUCUUUCACCCCAACAGGGAGGUACCUCCUUCCAAACCCGGUGGCGGGGCAGGCCUGGCCAUCUUCAGCGGAGACGUCCAACCUUUUGCGCAUGCGCAGCCAGGCCCUGGGCCAGUCGGCGCCGUCGCUCACGGCCAGCCUGGAAGGGCAGCCUCUGAAGAGCAGUUUCAACUCAGCCCGACAUCGCCAGAGACUAGUGGACCCAGCUGCUCCAAAAGUGAGUGCAUCCUGCCUCCCUGCUCUGCCUUGCGGCGGGGAUGUGUGGCCGUGUGGUCCCUGUAUGGUGACUGGGGUUAAUAUUCAUGCAUGCGUAUUUGAAGUCCUUGGAAUAUGCUUACUGAGAGGAAACAGCCCCCCUCUAUUCUUUCAAGACCAUGCUCAUCAGUGCUGGUCAGUAAAUUUUUAACAACCACAUCAGAAAACCAAACCAAACCCUAAUUUGUAGCAUUUGCUGGUUUCCAUGGUGUAAAUCCUGCCAAUUUCAAGUACCCGUAUGACAUCAUUGACCUCAGACCUGGGAAGAGAUGCUCAGUAGCACACUGUUAUAUAGUUUUUCCACCAUUCUGGUGCAAUCAUAUAAACCCUAAGAGCAGAGAUAAUAGUAAAUGUAACAAAAUAAUUAGGAAGUGAUUCAGUUUUGAGUAUCUGUUACCUACGUUUGCAGCAUAAUUUGACUGUAAAUUUAUUUUUAAGUAGUAAUUCUUGGCUGUGUUUAACAAUGGGCUUGGGAAACGGACUUUGGCCCAGUGGUUAGGGCGUCCGUCUACCAUAUGGGAGGUCCGUGGUUCAAACCCCGGGCCUCCUUGACCCGUGUGGAGCUGGCCAUGCGCAGUGCUGAUGCGCGCAAGGAGUGCCCUGCCACGCAGGGGUGUCCCCCAAGUAGGGGAGCCCCACGCGCAAGGAGUGCGCCCGUGAGGAGAGCCGCCCAGCGUGAAAAGAAAGAGCAGCCUGCCCAGGAACGGCGCCGCCCACACUUCCCGUGCCGCUGAUGACAACAGAAGCGGACAAAGAAACAAGACGCAGCAAAUAGACACCAAGAACAGACAACCAGGGGAGGGGGGGAAUUAAAUAAAUAAAUAAAUCUUAAAAAAAAAAAAAAAAAAAAAAACGGGCUUGUAAAAGUCCUAAAAUCUAAACGAGGCUGUGGGGGUUGGCUCAGGAAUACCAGUGAUAUGUGUUUUGUAUUUCUUGAGAAUAGAAGUAAGCCAUUUUGGUUAUGGCCAACUCUUUUGUUCUUUUUGACAGUAAGUCUCAGAACAGUUUGAGGUGGGCAAGGGUUUGAUAAUUCUACACAGCUCCAGACUUUUAUUAAACAGACAUUUAUUAGCAAAUAAACAUUCACAUAGCUGUUCUAUAAACUCAAUGACAUUCCAGUUUUAGUUGUUCCAGCCACAUCUUUUUGGAAAGUUCCACUCAAGGUGGACAUGACAACUUCCCAGAGGCAGGAUCCUCUCACCUUUAUAGUGGUCAUUAAGCAAAGGGCAUCCUCUGGCCCAGUUGCUGGACAUAAGGCCAUUUAGCCAUCAAAUCUCAGUGUCAGUCCUGAGGGUACAAGUUACAGCCUGACUGGAUUCCUAUGCCCUGUUCAUGUAAAGGUGGAGAAGGUCUCUAUAAUGUUUUUUACCCAUUCACUUAUCUUAAAUACCACCAGUUUCAACAAUGAAAGCUUGUGUUAAACAUCUAUUAUGCUGCCUAGCCAGCCAGCAAUUUUGGUUUCAUUAACAGAAACCAGUGUCAGUAUACCAAUUAGCAAAAUCUCUGGUGUUGCCUGGGUUUUGGAUACCUCUGAUAAAAUGCUAGUUGACCCCUUGGGGCUGUGAAUUCUGUUUGGGGC
rnacentral:lncRNA from 1 species